rnacentral:rRNA from 1 species
UACGAAGGGGGGCUAGCGUUGCUCGGAAUCACUGGGCGUAAAGCGCACGUAGGCGGCUUCUUAAGUCAGGGGUGAAAUCCUGGAGCUCAACUCCAGAACUGCCUUUGAUACUGGAGAGCUUGAGUCCGGAAGAGGUGAGUGGAACUCCGAGUGUAGAGGUGAAAUUCGUAGAUAUUCGGAAGAACACCAGUGGCGAAGGCGGCUCACUGGUCCGGUACUGACGCUGAGGUGCGAAAGCGUGGGGAGCAAACAGG